rnacentral:rRNA from 1 species
AGCGAACGCUGGCGGCAGGCCUAACACAUGCAAGUCGAACGGAUCCUUCGGGAGUAGUGGCGGACGGGUGAGUAACACGUGGGAACGUGCCCUUUGGUUCGGAACAACUCAGGGAAACUUGAGCUAAUACCGGAUGUGCCCUUCGGGGGGAAGAUUGAUCGCCAUUGGAGCGGCCCGCGUCUGAGUAGCUAGUUGGUGAGGUAAAGGCUCACCAAGGCGACGAUCAGUAGCUGGUCUGAGAGGAUGAUCAGCCACAUUGGGACUGAGACACGGCCCAAACUCCUACGGGAGGCAGCAGUGGGGAAUCUUGCGUAAUGGGCGAAAGCCUGACGCAGCCAUGCCGCGUGAAUGAUGAAGGUCUUAGGAUUGUAAAAUUCUUUCACCGGGGACGAUAAUGACGGUACCCGGAGAAGAAGCCCCGGCUAACUUCGUGCCAGCCGCCGCUGUAAAAC